rnacentral:lncRNA from 1 species
CUCGGCUCCCGCUUCCUUUGACCGCCUCCCCCCCCCGGCCCGGCGGCGCCCGCCUCCUCCACGGCCACUCCGCCUCUUCCCUCCCUUCGUCCCUUCUUCCUCUCCCUUUUUUCCUUCUUCCUUCCCCUCCUCGCCGCCACCGCCCAGGACCGCCGGCCGGGGGACGAGCUCGGAGCAGCAGCCAGGUGGAGUUUUGCUCUUGUCGCCCAGGCUGGAGUGCAGUGGCGUGAUCUCGGCUCACUGCAACCUCCACCUCCCAGGUUCAAGCGAUUUUCCCACUUCAGCCUCCCGAUAAGCUGAGAUUACAGAGUUUAUUAACCACUUAACCUCUCAGAACUGAACAAAGACAACAUUGUUCCUGGAACGCCCUCUUUUUAAAAAAGAAAGCAUAACCCCUACUGUAGAACUAAAUGCACUGUGCAUGAAACUUGGAAAAAAACCAAUGUAUAAGCCUGUUGACCCUUACUCUCGGAUGCAGUCCACCUAUAACUACAACAUGAGAGGAGGUGCUUAUCCCCCGAGGUACUUUUACCCAUUUCCAGUUCCACCUUUACUUUAUCAAGUGGAACUUUCUGUGGGAGGACAGCAAUUUAAUGGCAAAGGAAAGACAAGACAGGCUGCGAAACACGAUGCUGCUGCCAAAGCGUUGAGGAUCCUGCAGAAUGAGCCCCUGCCAGAGAGGCUGGAGGUGAAUGGAAGAGAAUCCG